AGGACCUUCCUGCUCGAGGAAUUGUUCGCAUGGUUUUAAGUUUUCUUGUAUGGCGGACUGUACAAAAUGCAUCCCGUGCAGCCAUUGCAAUGUAUGCAGCUGCGAAUGCGUUAGAGAUCGCGAUCCCUGCGCUCCACUGCGACGGCAUGACUGCGGUAAUAUGCUUGAAGUGAAGUGCAGCGUUUAUAAAAAUGGAUGCGUCUGUUAUUGCGGGAUUGCGCCACUGCGGCAGAUGAAAGGCGGCUUAUUUUUGGUGUAAUGCAUAUUGCAGGCAGUACAACUCAUACAAGCUUUCGUAGGAACACGUCUACUAAUAAUAAAGGCUAGUUUAGAGAAAUAAUAAAAAUGAAUCAAUGAACUAUGCCGAAACGAUAGUGCAAAUAAAUUUACGGAUUAAUUGGAUAGAUGCAAAGUUUGUUCAUCAUCAUUUGCUUACAUAUAUAUCUAAAUAUUUAUAU